AAACAUUUCAACAUCAAGGGCUUAUUUGGGUUGGAAAUCAUGACAACACCCAGGAUUUCUGUACAAACUGUUCCACAGAAACUUAUUUCUAUCAUCAUCAAAUACACCGUAUCACACUUUCAGGUCAAAUGCCAAGAGCAGGGCUAGCAAACUGAAACAAGAGUCUGUGUCUACAGUUCCCGUGGCCACACCCGUAUAAUUUUGGUCCAAAACAUUGCAGGCAACUUGCUUACAAGUUCGUCUUUGGCUUGGAUGGCGGGCUCACGCGCCUGGUCAAGGUCCGCAUCGUCACAAACUCCUCCGCCGCAGAAGGGUGGAUGCCGACCUGCAAAGCCAGCCAACAGGGUACCAUUUUUAGAACCUGAAAAAACACUGAUAUCCGAGACACCGUCGUAAUGUGGUGGCGAUCUGUUCCGAUGACUUACGGUGCUGUCGAAGGUCGCCUUGGUAGCUCCAGCCUUGAGCGCAACAGCAAUGCCCUGCAUUUGUGUCGUUUACAAGCUUAGGAAUAGAAUGCAUCGAACGGGUAACAGAAAAAUAAAUCAUCUUAAAAAAAAAAGAACACGGGAAUUCCACAAAUGCUUAUACCUGCAUAAUUUCAGCUGCAUCUGGUCCACACAUGGCUGCACCAAGUACCUUAUCGGUCUCAGCAUCAACCACCAGUUUUUUUCGAGAAAACGCAAGAGACUUUGCGUUUCAUUUCAUUGAACAGGAAGACAUCAGGGGUACAACCUCCAGAAAGGAGGGACACACACACACACACACACAAAUACACGACCGUCCUCACCAAGCGACUACAACUAGGUGAGGAGGUGCCCUCAACUAUAGACACGCAACGACAUUAGGCCUCGCCCAGCAGGGCAGCGUCACUGCCAUUGCCAGACAGCUCCAGGGACGAUUGCAGCUCCAGGACUGCCCAGGCCAACGUACCUCUCACCCAUGUGCCUAGAGAGUCGGCGGGUGAAGGGCAGGGCUCAACAGGAACUGGUGUAGCAACCGUUGGAGAAGCGCGGGCGCUGGCAUACAUUGCGAUCCGCUCCCUGUGUAGCAGUCUACGCCAGAGCGAUGCAUCACCAGCCUCCAUCUGCCGCAUCAAACUCCACUUGCAGCCAAAGCAGCGCCUACAAGAAGGGAACGGCGCUGAGACGCCGCCGCUGCCCGGUCCGGGAGGCCGGACCUGGGAUUUCUCCCGGUGCUCGAGNNNNNNNNNNNNNNNNNNNNNNNNNNNNNNNNNNNNNNNNNNNNNNNNNNNNNNNNNNNNNNNNNNNNNNNNNNNNNNNNNNNNNNNNNNNNNNNNNNNNNNNNNNNNNNNNNNNNNNNNNNNNNNNNNNNNNNNNNNNNNNNNNNNNNNNNNNNNNNNNNNNNNNNNNNNNNNNNNNNNNNNNNNNGCCGGCCCGCAGCCUCCACCGCCAGGAACCGCCGGGGCACAGCAGAGCAGCAGCCGUCAAGGACUGCCGCGCGCGUGCUCACCCGCCCAGCGGCUACCACCGACGGCGGCCGGGAGGGGUGGAAGGAGGGGGACGGGUGGGUUGGGGCAGAAACGCGCAGCCCAGAUCUGGGCGCCCUCAUCUCUGCAGCUCGCAGCAGCGGCCGGCCGCUGCCACAGCAGCGCCACCGCGCAUGCGUUCCACACCAUCACGGCCUCCCCUGAGCGCAGACGACCGCCUGCCUCGCCACCGCGCGCUCCCGCCGCUCCAGCGCACAAACAGCGCGUGAGCCCACGGACAAGGGCCCCGCCGCCNNNNNNNNNNNNNNNNNNNNNNNNNNNNNNNNNNNNNNNNNNNNNNNNNNNNNNNNNNNNNNNNNNNNNNNNNNNNNNNNNNNNNNNNNNNNNNNNNNNNNNNNNNNNNNNNNNNNNNNNNNNNNNNNNNNNNNNNNNNNNNNNNNNNNNNNNNNNNNNNNNNNNNNNNNNNNNNNNNNNNNNNNNNNNNNNNNNNNNNNNNNNNNNNNNNNNNNNNNNNNNNNNNNNNNNNNNNNNNNNNNNNNNNNNNNNNNNNNNNNNNNNNNNNNNNNNNNCGCGUCUUUAAGAUUAAUAAAAAAGAAUCAAAUCAGAAACCUUCGCCACGAGAAACUACUGUUUAACAGAUAAUCUCAUGAUACAUCAGGUACUUACUUGGAUAUGCUGUUCUUCAUUGGGUUGAAACUUGAUGUGUAAACAAGAAGAUCAUUCUUGGCUUCUGCCAAAGCCUCUUGUUCGCUGAGACCGACGACAGAUAGUGGUGGAAUGCUGAUUUGACAAAAUCCAUAAUCUCAUAUUAUAACACUGAGGGGAUGAUAGUGCAAUAAAGUAGCACAUUUCGAAAAACACAGAAGCUAGUGGUAGUCUAGCAGAGGUUUUUAGGGAUAAAUGGGAGCAUGUUUCAUUGGCACAAAAGGAGCUAUCUUGUCAUCCUACUCUCUAACUGUAGUGACAUGAACAAAAUACAGAACCACAUGUUUCUCAAAGAAAAGCUUGAAACUAAUUGCUAAAUCUAAGUACAAAAUAGGUAAUUUAAACUAACUUAAGGUAAUCACUUACCAGAAAACAGCACAAGGUACAUCUUUAUAAUCAAGCUUAACUGUCUGGCCACCAAACACAGUUUUCUGCAACGAAAAGAUAGGGAAGAAUAAAUGGUGCUGAUUUUAAAAACAAAGACUACAAGCAGAACGACCAGAACGAGUUACUGUGAAAGGAUUACAAACAAUAGCUAUCACUUACAGCGAAGCAAGUAGCCUCCAUCAGAGCAACAGGUGUUAGGUUAAUCCGAUUCGUAACAUCACCCACAGCCCAUAUAUUCGGAACUGAUGUACGGGAGUAUUCAUCAACCUAAACAGACGUGAAGUCAAAAAUUAACAACUGUAUUAUUCAGGGUGCCAAAAUUAUACCAUCAACAAAUUAAUAGAAAACACAGUGCAUAAUAUGGACACAGACCCAAUCAACCUAAACAGACAUGGAGAUGGAGUUGAAAUUAACAAAUCGUAUUAUUCAGAAUGCCACCCAAAGUACACAAUGCAGAAAUUAAUAGCAAAUACAAUGCAGAAUAUGGACACACACCCAAGUUCACAGGUGGGUUUGUAAGGGUAGAAGUAGAAAUGUGAGAAGUAAAUAUUAUUCAUAUAGCCUAGAGUAUACAAUGCAGAAACUAAUAGCAUGCCCAGUGCAUAAUAUGGACACAGACCAGAGCUCACAAGAGGUUUUGUCAGGGUAGAAACAGAAAUAAGAGAAAUAAAUUUCAGAUGUAAGAAUAUAUAAUAUCAACUAGGAGGUUCCGUAAGGACAAAUAAAGAAAGAAGAUAAACCUUGAUGGCUCCUACUUGAUCAACCUCAACACCAACAGCUUCCAGGUUCAGCCUAUUGGAGUUCGGCGCACGACCUGCACAAGUUAAAACCAGGCAUAAGAAUAAGGUGUGAACUUUCAUAUUCAAUGCAAUUUUUUUUUACGAUAAACGUUAUAUUCUAAACAGAGCAAGGAAACCAGAAGUGUCUGAUUCUUCCACAUCCAGCCACAACAGAUUAAUACGUGACAAACAAAUAAGUGGAUAAUUAUCUUUUUAAAAUACAAAUCAGUACAAGUUUUAGAAUACAGUACAAAAUUUUGCUCUACAGACUCAACUAACCAGGUGGUGUCGUGUUGUCCCAUUAUUGAUUGCGUAAUGAAAUGCUUAAAUGGAACAGAUAAAGUGCCAAAAAAUCAAUCAUGGGUAAUUACCUGUAGCGAAAAGAACAACAUCUGCAAUGAGCUCAUCCCCCUUAUCUGUCACAACUUUAAUGCCAUCGGCUGUUUUACUCAACUGGUUUACAUAAAUGAUAGUGAUCAAAACAAACUGCAGCCUGAACAUGAGGAAAGCGAACUGAACUUGAUGAAUUUAGCAUAAAUCACCUCAGUCAAAUUUGUCCCUGGAUGCAAUCUGAUUCCCCUUCCUUCAAGGUUACUUGCAACAACUGUUCUCAUCUCAUCAUCAAAACCUCUGCAAGUGGCUGAACAUAAGCUUCGGAUGAUGAAUAAGGGAGAUAAUAUAUUCAUAAGCUGUUCUCUUAUUGCCACUGAUUAUGGGUACAUCUGUUGUCCCUUAUAUAGGAAGGACUACUUCACCCCUAAGUAACAACUUAAAUGAUACCGAUCCGAUCUCUAACUCUAAUCUUAUCCCUUUCCUAUUUAAACAAUUAUCUUUUCUAUUUAGGUAGUAGGUACUGUCUAAAGCAGUCGUGCACAUAACAGGCUCCAACCUUUUGGAACAAUGCCAGUCACUACUUACUGGAAAGGCUAAAAUCACACCAUCCACUUUCCAGUAUAAUGCAAAAAACCACACAAUUACAUUGCUUGUGUGGAGUUUUACUUUCAUUUGCAAGUGGAACAUCAUGAUGGUCAAGGUAACUAAGCAGAGUACCGUAAGAAAACAAGUGACACUUCAUCAGUAAGGAAAAAUGGAUACUAGCAACUUCCAAGCACAUGGCAGUGUGAUGCCACAUCUCCAAGCAAACAAACUACAUGAAAAUUCUUCUGAAUUGUGCAGUACAUUAUUUGGGUAAAGGGCCACAAAUUUUGUGUGGUCUCCAUGUCGACAGCAGAUCAACCUACAUACCUUAGAGGAAGUUCUUUCCUGUAAAAUAGAUCUACUUCAGCACCCAACCCUUUCCAGAUAGAAGCAAAUUCAACAGCAAUAUAUCUGCAAUGACGCACCAGAUGAAAAAGUUAUGGUUGGGGACAGUUGGUAAUAAAAAUAAUAACAGUAUGGUGCAGGGUACCUAAAUAAAUCUAGAACCAUACCCGCCACCAAGAAUCACGGCGCGUUUUGGUAGCUCCUCCAAACUUAAAGCCUCAUCCGAAGUAAUAGCCAGCUCCUGCAAUUGAAUAUCCCCAUUGGUGUAGGUCAGAAUGGUCGAGAGGGAUACAGAAAACAGUGAAAUGUAAUACUUUGCUUCCUUAAUAACCCAAAGGCAGGUGAAAGAUGACUAAGUAAGUGUGUUCCAAACUGAAAGAGUUAUCAUGUGAAGCACUAAGGCAAUACAAUCACAAUGAGUAAAUCACAUGGAAGAAAACUAAAACAUUCUGAAACCAGACAUGGGCAGAGGAACACCCAAGGAGCUAAGGAUACAUGUUAGCACUAACAUCACCCAGUAAUACAAGUAACAUAAAAAAAAAAUCUCAAGGGGAACUUCCCAAACCUUUCCAGGAAUGUUGACCAGAGUUGCCCGGCUACCAGUUGCAAUCAAUAUGUGCUUGGUCGUCUUUGCUUUGAACCAUCUGGCUGGGUGACCUCAACAGUAUGAACAUCCACAAUACUUCCUGCCCCCUCGAUCAUUGUCACGCCAGAAUUACCAAGGAUUCUCUUGUGCACUUCGUUUAAUCUAACAAUUUCUUGAGUCUGCAUGACAAAGAGUCAUGAUCUUGGGUCACACGCAUCUACACUUGUGCAGAGUAUGAACGAUGAAUGUGCUCAACCAAGGUGAUGUGUCUGAAUCUGACCUUAUUUUCCAGCAACCUUUUCCAGGUGUAGUUGAUGUCCCCGUCGAUUUCCCACCCGAAAUUCUUGGCGUCCUGCACCCGUCACACAAGGAAUGAAAAUAAGCACACCAGAACACUGCUCCCAAUGCACUCCCUCCGUUCCUAAAAACUUCCUCCGCCCCAAAAUAAGUGUCUCGACCUUAGUACAACUUUAGUACAAAGUUGAGACACUUAUUUUGGAAUGGAGGGAGUAUAAGUCUUUCAAGAGAUUUCAAUAUGGACUACAUACGGAUGUAUAUAGACGGACUUUAGAGUGUAGAUUCACUCAUUUCGCUCCAUAUGUAGUCAACCGAGGAAGGAAUAAUGUUUAUUUUUAACAUACUUGACAGGACAACAACAGUUAGCUUGCCUAAUAAGACCACUUACAUCGAAUUCCCCCCUGAAAGAUGCGCCGUAGACGAGUAUCUUCUUCGGGACGCAGCCACGUAUCACGCACCUGAAGGCACCGAGCACGCGUGGAUAGAUUCAGAGCGUGAUUCCAGCGACAGAAACACAGAGAAGGGAAGUAAUUCGGGAUUGCGCGUUACGUUCCGCCGUGGCCUCCGAGCCACUCGGAGCUGAUGGGGUGGAACGGGAGCUCGCAGAUCGCAACCUGCACGAAAUCACAGCCAGACGAAUCUCAGCAUCUCAGCUGAACAAGUCCAACACCAGUAAUUAACGACGGGGUGGGUGUGGUGGGGAAGGGGAACAAGCGGAGGGGGGGCGCAGACCUUGGCCCCGAAGCCGGCGGCGGUGCGGGAGCCGCGGACGCCGCCGCUGCCGGCGCCGAUGACGAAGAGGUCGUAGUCGUAGCUCUCCUCGCCGUCGGCGACUACGGGCGCCUCCCUGUGCUUGAGCAUCUUCUUUAAGAAAGAAAGCCCUUUUCCAUUUCUAGCAAAAUUCUUUCUAUCUACACCUAGUUUAAGGUAUUCAUCAUUGCAAUAAUUGUAUUCCCUCCGUUCCUAAAUGUAAGUCUUUGUAGAGAUUUCACUAUAAAUUACGGAUGUAUAUAGAUGCAUUUUAAGUUUAGAUUCAUUCAUUUUGCUUCAUAUGUAGUUCAUCUAGUGCAAUCUCUACAGAGACUUAUAUUUAGGAACGGAGAAAGUAGUAGAUCGACAACAGAUUCGUGUAGGGAACUAGAUUAGCUAAGCUACUUAUCUAAUUUAUUGUACAGAUUCUGAGGCCAGCGAUUGGACAUGGAAAAUAGAAAUACUUUUUUCUUUAUAAAGAAACAGAUAACUCGAUCGAUAUCUGUAUCGAUCAUGAUAUAUUCCCUCUGUUUCAAAAUAUAGUGCUUCAUCUAUUUCCGUGCUUCACUUUGACCAUAAAUUUAAACAACAAGAUUGACUGCGGCGGGAGCAAAAAUUAUACCAGUGAAUUCGUCGGAGUUGCAGUGAAUCGCGUCGGAGGGUCAUUGAAAUUUGGUCGGGGUUGCAAUGAAGCUCCGCCGGAGCUGCAGUGAAGCACGCCGGAGGGUCGUCGAACCAGGUCUGGGUUGCAAUGGAGGGCCAGCGGCGCGCGCCGGUGCUGCCAUGGAAGUUGCUGCUAGGGGGUACAUAUGGCGGAUUUUGCGUCUGAUGGAUGGAAGAGCGGAGAAGGAAGACUGGGUUGUGCUACGAUCGAAUGGCCACCUCGUCCAGAUUGGACGGCUGGCAAUCAUCCGGCUUAUUCAUAGCAGCCGCCUUUUUUAUUUCACUUCAUAAUCUAUUCUAAAAUUUCUAUAUAUACACUAAUUUGUGGACGGGGGAGUAUGCACUGCGGUAGCACUUGCGUGAACCGGAUUGAAACAAAUUGGACCCCCUCCCCCCGCGAGCGCGUCACGGGAGAUUCCCCUCCGUCGCCGGCGCAAGGCUCCGCCCUCGCUCACUCCUCCUCCUCGCCGCUGCCGGAGGGCGUCCGCCGGGCGAAGCCCGUGCGGCGCUGGCAGCGGCAGGGCUCUCUCCUUCCUCUCCUGGUCGGGAUCUCGGUGGCGCGGGCCGCCGCUCGUGGGGGAGCUGGGUCCGGCGGGGCCUCCGGCGGCGGAGACGUGCGGAUCUGGCAGCUUUGGUGCUGGGAGGCGGCGGUGCGGCCCCGCGGCGGCGGUGGCGGGGGUUUGGUCUGGCGCGACCGAUCUGCCCCCCUGGGGGCUGCGGGCGUUGCGGGUGGCGGCGGCCACUGCUGGAGAGGGCGUCUUCCCCUUGUCGACGGGGUUUGGCGCCGGCACUCGGUGCGCCGUCUUGGCCGUGCUGGGCGGCGAGUCGGCGGCGGGCUUGGAUUCGAUCUUGUAAGGGCAUAUUUAUCCCUCGGGUGUUUUGGUGAUUGAUGACAAUGCAUUUGCGGACUAAUCGUGUGCCUUGAGUUUCUCAGAUACUUCAUCUCUAGGCAUGAGACGAUUCGGUGCCCCUCGGAGACUAUUGAAGUCGGCGUUGUUCUACGUUUCUCUUUGGUGGAUUUGAGUCGUAGGAGAGCCGUACUAUUAAGAGGGGGUCCGCGUCGGAAAGGUUUGGGUGGAAUCAACACGUACACUUGUUCCUCCUUUCCCUGCAUUUUGGAGCUUCCCUUUGUUAUCUAGGUUGUGCGGAAAUCUGACGACUACUGCUGUACUUGCGGUAGUACCGCAAGUACACGCGGUAGUACCGCUGUGUGUCACGGUAGUACCGCUCAUCUGGAGCGGUAGUACCGCGGCUCCCAGGCCUUGUGCCGCUCUGGUGCGGUAGUAGGGGCGGAUGUAAUUUUUUACAUCCGCGCCCCCCAUGGUAGUACCGCUCGUCCAGCGCGGUAGUACCGCGGGGGCCCAUGGUAGUAUCGCUCCCUAGGAGUCGUAGUACCGUGGCCCUCCUACCUAGUACCGCAGUGUCGCGGUAGUAGGCGCGGAUGUAAUUUUUUACAUCCGCGCCCGCACGGUAGUACCGUGCCUCGUGAGCGGUAGUACCGCGUCGGAUUUUUGUACCACCUCAGUUUCAGCGGAAGUAGGCACGGAUGUAAUUUAUAUCAUCCGCGCCCUUCCCAGGCCGUGACUUUCCUGCCUAGCGGUAGUACCGCAAGUGGGUGCGGUAGUACCGCGCAAGCGGUAGUACUGCCCCCUUGUCAGGCUAGUUCCGUCCUGUGCUGCUGUCGCGGUAGUACUGUGGUCAGCCACGGUAGUACCGCACAGCCUCGCGGUAGUACCGCGCCCCUGGAGCGGUAGUACCGCGUGUCGCGGGCUGAACUUGUGGAUAACGGUUGGAUUCUUUCCACGACUAUAUAAGGGGUGUCUUCUACCUCUAGUUCACUACCUCUUCCAUCUCUAAGCUCCAUUGUUGCUCCAAGCUCCAUUUUCACUCGAUCUUUCUCCCUAGCCAAUCAAACUUGUUGAUUUGCUCAGGAUUGGGUGACAAGUGCCCGAUCUACACUUCCACCACAGGAUAUUUGAUUCCCCCCACUUAUCCCUUGCGGAUCUUGUUACUCUUGGGUGUUGAGCACCCUAGACGGUUGAGGUCACCUCGAAGCCAUACUCCAUUGUGGUGAAGCUUCGCGGGAUUAUUGGGAGCCUCCAAGUGUUGUGGAGAUAGCCCCAAUCUUGUUUGUAAAGGUCCGGUUGCCGCCUUCAAGGGCUCCAAUAGUGGAAUCACGGCAUCUCGCAUUGUGUGAGGGUGUGAGGAGAUUACGGUGGCCCUAGUGGCUUCUUGGGGAGCAUUGUGCCUCCACACUGCUCUAACGGAGACGUACUUCCCUUUAAAAGGAAGGAACUUCGGUAACACAUCCUCGUCUCCACCGGCUCCACUCUUGGUUAUCUUAUCCCUUUACUUUUGCGAGCUUACUUGUGCUAUAUCCAUUGCUUGCUUGUGUGCUCAUUGUCUUUGCAUCAUAUAAGUUGUCCACGUAGUUGCACAUCUAGACAACCUAUUUCAUUGCAAGGUUUAAAUUGUUAAAGAAAAGUCUAAAAUGGUUAGUUGUCUAUUCACCCCCCCUCUAGUCAACCAUAUCGAUCCUUUCAAUUGGUAUUAGAGCCUCGUCUCUUUAUUAAGGACUUUGCCAUCCGAAGAGUAUGGUUGACGUCAACGAUGGUGCGGAGGAACACUCCGGUGUGAAUCUCAUCUCGUCUUCGGCCGAAGGGGGAACCUCGGUCUCACGUGAGGAAUUCAAUGUGGCUUUAGACACAUUGAAAACCUCCAUGACGGCCGAGGUUAAAAGCAUGUUUACUGAAUUUCUAGAGGGACUUAAACUAUCUACCUCACCAAUGAAAGUGGUGAUCCCACUAACAAGGUGACGGAUGCUAACUCCAAUAAGGGGGAAGCUAACAAUGAAAAGAGUCCUUCCACUAGUGGUAGAAAUGGCACCGGCAUCUUUGCCCAUGUGGAACCCCCGGUGUAUAGAGGACCGAUCCCCUCUACUCAUUUGAAUCAUGCCGGUCCUCCUCCUAAAUAUGUGAAAAAUGAAGAUUAUGAUUCUUGGGUUUAUUGCUUCAAGCGUCAUUUAAAACAUGUGAAUACUAACCUUUGGAGAAUUAUUGAAGAAGGUUUCUAUCCUCAUGAUCCAACCAACUUCACCCCUCGAGAAGAAGUGGACAAUCAAUUCAAUGAGAGUGCUCUCUUCAUCAUCCAAGAUGCUAUCCUUCCCGAAGAUCUCCCUCAUCUUCGACCUCAUGUCAUGGCUAAAGAAGCAUGGAAGUGUGUCGAGCGUAUGUAUAGAGGAAGUGAUAGAAUUCAACGCUCCAACUAUGAAGUGGUGCAAGAUGAAGCCGAUGAGUUUGCAAUGAAAGAGGAUGAAGAACCUCGUGAGCUCUUUCGAAGAGUGACCAAACUUGCGGUCGCACUUCGAGAUCAUGGGAGUAAGGACACGGAUGACAACUGGAUCAAGCACAAGUUCCUCAAGGCCAUGAUGCCCUACAACAAGGCCAUGUCCUCCAUCAUCCGCCAAAGACCGGACUUCCACUCCAUGACCUCUGGUGAAGUGUUGGAUGAGUUUGUUGCAAUGAACAUCUUGGAUAAGACCGCCGACAAUGCGGUGCUCCGUUCCCAAAGGGCAAAGAAGCCCAAUCUUGCCUUGAAGGCCAAGGUUAGUGUGGAAGAAGAAAAAGAAGAGGAAGAUGAGGAGAGCAACCCCGAGGACACGAAGUAUGAUUAUCAUGAGCACAUGGCUCUUGCCUCAAGACAGUUUUGGAGUAAGAAGACUACAAGACCCAACUUCAACAAGAACAACUCAAGUGGCCUCAAAGGGAAGCAACAAGUUAGAACUUGUUUCACCUGUGGCAAUGUCAGUCAUUUCGUUGCGGAUUGUCCAUAUGAGAAGCGGGAAGACAAUGGGGGCAAGUUCAUUCGAAAAGACAAAGCCAAGUCCUUCCCAACAAGAACAACUUCACCAAGAAGACUCCUUCUCGCGGGUUGGUGGUUCAAGAAGAAUACCGUGAGGAUGACGAUGAUGAUGAAGAUGGUGAAACAAUGGCCAUGGCAUCCGUUGCCAUUGUCUCAACUCCUCGGGUGUCUCUCUUCGAUGCACCUAAUGAGAACAUCACCGCCAAGUGCCUCAUGGCUAAGGCCACCAACAAGGUAACCCCCAACAUCAAAACAACCAUUAUUCCUAACCCUCCUUCAACGGAUGACUUUGAUAAUGGUAAGGGGUCUAAUGAGGAUAUCAAUGAAUUUGAGUCCUUCAUGAGUAAGCUCAAGGGCAAAUCCAAGAAGCAUUUCGUUGCUCUCUUGGAACAACUUGGUGAAGCCAAUGACAUGAUCGAGGCUCAUGAAGAAACCAUCACUAAGAUGGAAAGCCAUAGUCGUGACUAUGCCGAUGAGAUAUCAGAUCUCUCUAAUGCUCUUGAGGAAGAGUGUGAGCAUCGUUUGGCUCUUGAGGAGUCACACAAUGAUGGUCAUGCUAAACUAAAGAAAGAUCUUGAUCAUGCUCUUGCUGUGUCUCGUGUUCUAGCUUCUGAGAAGGCUAAACUUGGGGUUGAUCAUGUUAGACUCACGGAGGAGUUUGAUGUACUUGACAAGGCCCACAAGGUCUUGAAAGGUGCUCAUGCCACCCUCAAGGAGUCUCAUGCUCAACUCCAAGUUAAGCUAACUAAGGAAAAGGCCACAUUUCCUCACAUGGUCUUAAUUGAUACUAACCCAUGUUGUGAGCAUGUGCAUCUUGUGGAGGAAAAUGCCAAGUUGAAGGAACAACUCGAGAAAGGUCUUGUGUCAUGCAUACAAGGCGAGAAGAACCUAAAUAACCUUUUGAGCAAUCAAAGGGAAGUUGUGCAAGGAGGGAGUUGGGUUCGCACCCAAGUCCAAGAACAAGAAGAAAAACAAGGAGAAGAAGAGCAAGACCAAUCGACCUCCUCCGCUCACGCAAACCUUUGUGAAGGAGGGAGAAGGUGCUCCUAAGGAGAAGAAGAACAAUGGGAAGAGUGGUGAAGCCAAAGAGCGCAACGCCAUCUCUCCCAACAAAGCCGGCGACUUUAACCCCUCUUAUGUGUUGUGCCGUGCUAGUGAUGGACAUGUUUAUGCUAAAUUUGUUGGUUCUCCUUAUGAGUACAUUGAAUGGUCUAUUUGGGUUCCUAAGACCCUUGUUACUAACAUCAAAGGACCCAUUACUCAAUGGGUACCUAAAACCAAGCAUUGAUCUCUUGUAGGUGUUUGCUUCCGGUGGGGGAUCAUGGUUGCUCGAUAGUGGAGCAACAAAUCAUAUGACCGGGAGCAAGGACUUGGUGGUGGACGUGCACAAUAUCCCAUCUAUGCCCACCAAUGUCGAAUGGGGUGAUGCCUCACAUUCUAAGGUAUUGGGUCUUGGCAAGGUUGUCAUUUCUCAUGAUCUAACGAUCGAGAAAGUCAUGCUUGUUGAGUCCCUUGUGUUCAAUUUACUUUCCGUUCGUCAACUCGCACUCAUGGGUUUUGCCACCUUCUUUGAUAUUGAUACCGUGGCCCUCUUGUGGAGCAAGACUCUUAAAGUAGCCUUUGUUGGGCAUGUCGAGAAUGGUCUCUAUGUGGUUAACUUCUCGGAGCAACCCACUAAGACCGCGACAUGCCUAAUGGCUAAAGUUGAUGUGGGAUGGCUUUGGCAUCGCCAUUUAGCCCACGUCAAUAUGAGAUCUUUGCAAAGUAUUCUCAAGGGGGAACAUGUCCAUGGACUAACGAAUGUUAGUUUUGCCAAAGAUCGUGUGUGAAGUGCUUGUAUCGAAGGAAAGCUUCAUGAGACGACUCAUCCUCCCACGACUAUCAUCUACUCGAAGAGACCCUUGGAGCUCCUCCACAUGGACCUCUUUGGGCCCCCAUCCUUUGAUAGUCUUGGGGGUAGAAAGUAUUGCUUGGUGAUAGUGGAUGAUUAUUCAAGAUACACGUGGGUAUACUUCUUCAAGAGGAAGAGUGAGACUCAACAAACUGUCAUCGACUUUGCAAAUGAAGCUCAACGUUAACACAAUGCAAAGAUCUUGACAAUAAGAAGUGACAACGGCACCGAGUUCAAGAACUACACCUUGGAUGAGUUUCUUAGUGAUGAAGGGAUCAAGCAUCAAUAUUCUGCACCAUAUACCCCUCAACAAAAUGGUGUUGCGGAGAGGAAGAACCGGACGUUGAUGGAUGCGGCAAGGACCAUGAUGGCGGAGUUCAAGUCUCCAUACAAGUUCUGGGCCGAAGCCAUCAACACAGCUUGUCAUGCAUCCAAUCGGCUCUAUCUCCGCAAAGGCUUGAACAAGACUCCGUAUGAGAUACUCACCGGGAACAAGCCCAAUCUCAAGUACUUCCGGGUGUUCGGGUGUAAGUGUUUCAUUCUCAAGAAAGGUGUUCGUUUGUCUAAAUUUGAAGCUAGAGCUCAUGAGGGCAUAUUUGUUGGUUAUGCUACAAACUCUCAUGCUUACAGUGUUCUCAACAAGUCCAACGGACUCAUUGAGGAGACGUGUAACGUAGAGUUUGAUGAAAAUAACGGCUCCCAAGUGGAGCAAAGUGGUACUUGUGAUGUAGGUGAUGAAAUUCCUCCCCAAGCCAUAAGAAGAAUGGGUAUUGGUCAUAUCCUACCCAUUGAGGAACCCCUUGUGGCCGAAGGAGAAGGACAAUGCUCCACUCAAGUGGAGCCAUCACCUCCCCAAGACCCACACGCUUCCGAAGAACAAAGUGAAGGCCCUCACCUUCAUGAACAAGACCAAGGACAAGAUCAACCUCAAGAUGGAGGUGAACCUCCAAAUGAUGCCCAAGGUCAAGUUCUCCCCCUCGAGCAAGUUCAAGAUCAUGAGCAAGCUCAAGAUGGCGCUCAAGAUGAUCAAGUUAACCUUCCUCCUUCCACAACCGAGGAAGAAUUAGAGCAUCGUACCGUGAAGAUUGCUUCCAAACUCACCACCCAAGGCCAUCUCAUGGAAAACGUGGUUGGAAGUCUAAGAAAGGGGGUAAGCACUCGUAGACAAUUAGCUAACUAUUGUGAACAUCAUGCGUUUGUUUCUUGUGUUGAACCCCAAAAGGUCUAUGAGGCGCUCAAAGACUCGGAUUGGCUCAAUGCCAUGCAUGAAGAACUAAACAACUUCGAGUACAACAAGGUGUGGAGAUUGGUGCCAAGACCUUCGGGGAACCACAACGUCAUUGGAACAAAGUGGAUCUUCAAGAACAAGCAAGAUGCUCAUGAGAACAUCAUUCGCAACAAUGCAAGAUUGGUAGCACAAGGCUACUCCCAAGUCGAGGGCAUCGACUACGGUGAAACCUUUGCUCCCGUUGCUCGUCUUGAAUCCAUUCGUUUGUUGAUUGCUUAUGCUUCCCAUCACAAAUUUAAGUUGCAACAAAUGGAUGUGAAAAGUGCUUUUCUUAAUGGUCCCAUUAAUGAGUUGGUUUAUGUCAAGCAACCCCCCGGGUUCGAGGACCCCUACUUCCCGGAUCACGUGUAUCAACUCGAUAAGGCACUCUAUGGCCUUAAACAAGCCCCACGUGCGUGGUAUGACCACCUUACCGAGUUGCUACAAGAUCGUGGAUUUGAAGUAGGACAAAUCGAUCCCACUCUUUUUACGAAGAAGGUCAAAGGGGAGUUGUUUGUAUGCCAACUAUAUGUUGAUGAUAUUAUCUUUGGUUCUCCUAACAAAGCUUUCAAUGAGGAAUUUGCCGCUCUCAUGACCUCCAAGUUCAAGAUGUCUUCGAUGGGAGAGUUGAAGUUCUUCCUUGGUUUUGACAUCAAACAACGAAGAGAAGGAACCUUCAUCAACCAAGCCAAAUACACUCAAGACAUGCUUAAAAGAUUCAAGCUAAGUGAUGUCAAGCCGGCUUCUACACCAAUGCCUACCAAGUGCCAACUUGACAUCGAUCCCAAUGGUAAAGCGGUGGAUCAAAAGGUAUAUCGCUCCAUGAUUGGCUCCUUGCUUUACCUUUGUGCAUCUAGACCGGAUAUCAUGUUGAGUGUGGGGAUGUGUGCACGGUUUCAAGCCGCACCAAAGGAAAGUCACUAUGUGGCGGUCAAGCGAAUCUUUCGAUAUUUGGCUCAUACCCCAAACUUUGGCUUAUGGUACCCAAGAGGAGCAAAUUUCAAGCUUGAAGGUUUCACGGAUUCCGAUUGGGCGGGGGACAAAGUGGAUAGGAAGUCCACUUCCGGAGGGUGCCAAUUUCUUGGUUGCUCUUUGGUAAGUUGGUCUUCCAAGAAGCAAAGUUGUGUGUCCCUCUCGUCCACCGAAGCGGAGUAUGUGGCGGCCGGUAGUUGUUGUGCUCAACUCCUAUGGAUGAGGCAAACUUUAAAGGAGUACGGUGUCAUUUGUGACAAAGUGCCUCUUUGGUGUGAUAAUGAAAGUGCCAUCAAGAUUUCUCUCAACCCGGUACAACACUUCAAGACGAAGCACAUUGAGAUUCGGUAUCACUUCAUCCGGGAUCACAUUAGGCGAGGGGAGAUCGAGCUCAAGUAUGUCAACACAUGAUAACCUUGCAGAUAUUUUCACGAAGCCCUUGGAUGAAGCAAGAUUUCGCGAGUUAAGGCAUGAGCUAAAUAUCAUUGAUUUGAGCAAUGUGACUUGAACCCGUACACCCCCCACCACACUCAACGUGUUGUCUAGUUUAGGUGUAGGCAUGGACACAGGGGGAGUGUUGUUCUCUCAAUGAACUCUUCCUCCCCCCAUUAUGCAUAAAUCGAUCACCUCUUUCACAUUAGCCAUUUUUAAUGGUACUUAUGCUUCAAAGACGAGUUUUGGUCAUGGGCCCAAGGAUAAUUCUUCCCGGUGCCAUACCAUCCAACUCAAACAUAGGUGGCUUCGGCCACCGCCUUCUCUCCUCGAGAGGCUUUGUCGCUUGGUGGUUUCUUGUUGUCUUUUUGCCUCUGGUGUGUGCGUGUUCUUGUGGUUUCUUGUGUGUGAAAAGUUUCCGUGCAAAGGCUUUUUCUUCUCUUGUUGAAACUUGCGGUGACUUGAGCUCACGGUACUACUGCGGCCAGCUAUGGUACUACCGCAGCCAGCCACGGUACUACCGCUUGCGGGAGCAUGGUACUACCGUCACCACGCGGCAGUAAUUUUUUUACUGCCGCCUGGUUGAGCGGUACUACCGCCUCGGCGUGGUACUUCCGCCCGAGCGGUACUACCGCGAUGAUACGCGGAACUACCGCGCCGGUUCGAGCGCGUGGGGAUAAGGACGGGCAGGGGGAGUUUUAACUCCCCAUACCCAUUCGUUGUCCUCUCUCUCCACAUCGCCUCCUUCUCUCCCUCGCUCAUGAACGGAGCCGGCGUUCGUCGCCGGAUCUCCUCCACUGGCUGCCCUCCCGUGAUUCCGACCGGUGGGAUCGUUCCCCACCACGUGCUCUUGCUAUGGACCAAGAUUUUUCCCCAACUCCCUCUCCGUGUUGAUUGUGUUUAGUGUUUCUAGGUUUUGGGGGAGGCUUGUGUGUUCUUGAGAUUCUUAGGCUUAAUCUCUGCAAGAGUAGGAUGAAGGAGCGUGGUAUUGCAUAGGAUUUAUACUUGUAUUGUUGUCUUGCGCUAGAUCGGAUCACCGUAGCACCGCCAGUGUUUCGCGGUUCUUUUCAGAUUCAAACCGCCGGUUGGAUCUGACGCGACGCGGUACUACCGCCCGUCUGGCGCGGUACUACCGCUUGCACGGUACUACCGCCCGUCUGGCGCGGUACUACCGCUUGCACGGUACUACCGCCCUUCGGGAGCGGUACUACCGCGCUCUGUGCGGUACUAAAAGUUUACUUCCGCUCCAACCACGGUACUACCGUGACCUCGCACGGUACUACCGUGUUUAGAGCAGUACUAAUCUUUUAGUACCGCAUGCAAUGGCAGUUCUACCGUGGCUCACAUCUAUCGCAUGCCAACUUUCUCGUAUGCCUUCUAUGUGUUUCUUGUGCUUUUUCGUGGCCUUUGCAUUGAUCCUUUCGCGUCUUUGGUGUUUUGCGUGUGUGUCUCAGGUGGUGGCUCUCGCCGGUCCAACCCUAGUCGUGACACUGGCUCCAAACGUUUGCGCAACCCAGGUGAAGUACCAAAGGGCUCGUGUGCCUCCAAGCGCAAUGUCAAGCACUCAGCUAGCAAGCACAAGGAGCCCGCUAAGGGCAUGGAUGAGAUAGCCCAAGCUGAUUAUGUCCGUCUCAGGCAGCUUCACCCUUAUGUGCACCCCGCGUGCCACUUUCAGAGGCUGUGAGCUGUUCUGGAACAAGCAACAGACCAACAUCUAUCUGGAUGUCAUCAAGAACAAGCAGAAAACCUAUGUGGAGGUGAAGUGGAUUGACAUGCAUCACAUGAGGAAGGACAAGUUUCGUGACUACUUUGGAGAGGCUCUGGACUUGGUGGAGCAGUUUGGCAUUGAGCAUGUGUUAACCUUCCACCUCGACUAUGACCCUGAGCUUAUCUGUCAGUUCUUUGCCUCAGUCUACUUUCACUCCGAUGAGGAACGGAGGAUGACCUGGAUGACCAAUGGCCGUAAGCUGUCUGCUACCUGGAAGGAGUUCAUGGAUCUCCUCCAGGUUCCUGAUGAUGGGCUCGACUCUCCAGUGGGUGUUCGCCCCCAUGCCAAUGCUGAGUCUGCCAGCAAGGACAGGCUUGCCCCAUUCAUGGUUGAGAAGGCGCUCGCCAAUGGCAAGACAACUUUGGUGCUCAACCCCUUCCUGGAUAUCAUGUAUCGCAUCUUCCGCAACUCCUUGUUCCCUCGCAUCGGUGACAAAGACAAGGUUCAUGCCUAUAUGGUGGACAUGAUGCUCAUCUGCGAGGAGGCUCGUUCGUCUCAGUCUCAGCCACUUGAUGUCUCACACAUCAUGUGGUGUGAGCUCCGGUUUGCAGUGUUCAACCGCAAGGUGCCUAUCUAUGGGCCCUAUCUGUUUCUGCUGAUUUCAAAGACUUGGGAGAAGAUGUUCCCUGAUGAGGAGUUUCUUGCUCCAGACUGGGUUCGCCAUGAGCCCAUCUGCCUGCGUAUCAAAUCCAACUGGGCCAACACCACUACUCGUGCCAAGGCAUCUGCUGCUAGGGCUGCUGUUGAUGAGGAGGAUGCUGGCGCCGAGGAUGUUGCUGAGGGCCGUGCUGCUAGGCCUUCCCAGAGUGCCGCUAUGCCAUCAUGGGCCAAGAAGCUGAAGGACAAGAUGAAGACUCUUUUCUACAUGCAAGCCAAGGGGCAGUACAGGACUCACGUGGCGUCCAAGGAGAGUCGUCGCCGGGACAACAAGAUCUUGCAGCUCUAUGGUGAGGCAGUGUCUGGCGGGUCUGAGGAGCACAUCACUCCAGAGGCAGAGUGGAUGGAGAAGCAGGGCUAUAGGUGGACUGAGUCUGAGGAGGAUGUCGAGGAGAACAUCCAUGCUGCCGAGGAGACCGACGGAGAGGCUUGGGACGAGUUCUCUGCUUGAGCCACCUCUUGUGUGUAGGUGUCCUCUCUGCCUUUUUGGCGUCUCGAUGCCAAAGGGGGAGAGAGUGUAGGGAUUUGCUAGUGUGUCGUGUGUUUGCUGCUUUCUCGUUUGAACUAUUUGCUGCUUUCUCGUUUGAACCUCGGUAGCUUUAUUUCAUAUGGUGUAAGCCAUAUGCACUCGAUCUAUCCUAGCGAGCUUGUGUUAUAUUGUGUUAUCUUUAUGCUAUGCUAUGCUUAUUAUCAUGCCUUGGUCUCUAAAAUAUAGGGAGAGUGUUGAUCCUAGUCUGUGUGCUAUGCAGUCCAAAGCAUUCAUCUAAAGUGCACACAUCUAGGGGGAUCCCGUCUAUAUUUUAGAGCGGUGGGGUUUGCCCCUGCUCUAAAUUAUCUUAUCUAUAUGCAAAUCCCGUGUUGUCAUCAAUCCACCAAAAAGGGGGAGAUUGUAAGGGCAUAUUUAUCCCUCAGGUGUUUUGGUGAUUGAUGACAAUACAUUUGCGAACUAAUCGUGUGCCUUGAGUUUCUCAGAUACUUCAUCUCUAGGCAUGAGACGAUUCGGUGCCCCUCGGAGACUAUUGAAGUCGGCGUUGUUCUACGUUUCUCUUUGGUGGAUUUGAGUCGUAGGAGAGCCGUACUAUUAAGAGGGGGUCCGCGUCGGAAAGGUUUGGGUGGAAUCAACACGUACACUUGUUCCUCCUUUCCCUGCAUUUUGGAGCUUCCCUUUGUUAUCUAGGUUGUGCGGAAAUCUGACGACUACUGCUGUACUUGCGGUAGUACCGCAAGUACACGUGGUAGUACCGCUGUGUGUCACGGUAGUACCGCUCAUCUAGAGCGGUAGUACCGCGGCUCCCAGGCCUUGUGCCGCUCUGGUGCGGUAGUAGGGGCGGAUGUAAUUUUUUACAUCCGCGCCCCCCACGGUAGUAUCGCUCGUCCAGCGCGGUAGUACCGCGGGGGCCCAUGGUAGUACCGCUCCCUAGGAGUCGUAGUACCGUGGCCCUCCUACCUAGUACCGCAGUGUCGCGGUAGUAGGCGCGGAUGUAAUUUUUUACAUCCGCGCCCGCACGGUAGUACCGCGCCUCGUGAGCGGUAGUACCGCGUCGGAUUUUUGUACCACCUCAGUUUCAGCGGAAGUAGGCACGGAUGUAAUUUAUUUCAUCUGCGCCCUUCCCAGGCCGUGACUUUCCUGCCUAGCGGUAGUACCGCAAGUGGGUGCGGUGGUACCGCGCAAGCGGUAGUACUGCCCCCUUGUCAGGCUAGUUCCGGCCUGUGCUGCUGUCGCGGUAGUACUGUGGUUAGCCACGGUAGUACCGCACAGACUCGCGGUAGUACCGCGCCCCUGGAGCGGUAGUACCGCGUGUCGCGGGCUGAACUUGUAGAUAACGGUUGGAUUCUUUCCACGACUAUAUAAGGGGUGUCUUCUACCUCUAGUUCACUACCUCUUCCAUCUCUAAGCUCCAUUGUUGCUCCAAGCUCCAUUUUCACUCGAUCUCUCUCCCUAGCCAAUCAAACUUGUUGAUUUGCUCGGGAUUGGGUGACAAGUGCCCGAUCUACACUUCCACCACAGGAUAUUUGAUUCCCCCCACUUAUCCCUUGCGGAUCUUGUUACUCUUGGGUGUUGAGCACCCUAGACGGUUGAGGUCACCUCGAAGCCAUACUCCAUUGUGGUGAAGCUUCGCGGGAUUAUUGGGAGCCUCCAAGUGUUGUGGAGAUAGCCCCAAUCUUGUUUGUAAAGGUCUGGUUGCCGCCUUCAAGGGCUCCAAUAGUGGAAUCGCGGCAUCUCGCAUUGUGUGAGGGCGUGAGGAGAUUACGGUGGCCCUAGUGGCUUCUUGGGGAGCAUUGUGCCUCCACACCGCUCUAACGGAGACGUAGUUCCCCUUAAAUGGAAGGAACUUCGGUAACACAUCCUCGUCUCCACCGGCUCCACUCUUGGUUAUCUUAUCCCUUUACUUUUGCAAGCUUACUUGUGCUAUAUCCAUUGCUUGCUUGUGUGCUCAUUGUCUUUGCAUCAUAUAGGUUGUCCACGUAGUUGCACAUCUAGACAACCUAUUUCAUUGCAAGGUUUAAAUUGUUAAAGAAAAGUCUAAAAAUUGUUAGUUGCCUAUUCACCCCCCCUCUAGUCAACCAUAUCGAUCCUUUCAGAUCUGAAGUUGGCGGCUUCACCACGCUUUCCUCCUUUGCUGGCCGGUCUGCGGGCUUCCUCCGGACGUCCUACUCAGCUGGUUGGCGGAGCAAUGGUGAUGCAAGCUCUGGGUCGGGGGAAACCCUUGACCGGCGGUGCCGGUCACGAUGUUGGCGAUGCUCGUGGCGCCGUUCUCCCUCUGGUGGGCGACAUCAAGACCCUCUCCUCGUCUCCACCCCAUGGUCCCGGGCGAAAGCCUAAAAUAUCUUGAUUGGGCGGCGACGGCGCAUCGGCGUCGUUUUCUUCUUGAAGACGCUGCCUUGGGAGUCCAGGAUGGUCAGGGGAUCGGUGCGGUGGUGGUUUGCCCGUUUCUGUCGUGUCCCUGCUCGGGAUUGGCGAUGGGCUUCUUGGUCUUGGCCGGUGACGUGCGUGAUGUAUGGGUUCCUGUGAGAGGUGAGGUGGCCAGGGCUCGUCCUCUCCCCGGUAACAUGUUGGCCAGUCCAUCCGUGCUCAAGGGUGAGCUGUUCUGCCUCCUGACGGGUCGGCGUCCUUCGAUCCAGGACGAGAGGGCAGGGGUGCCCUCUUCGGAGGCAGCGGCGGAAAGUAGGACAACAGGGUUGGCCCUUGGGAGUUGAUGGAGGGUGGCCUCCCUCCGGUGGCGAAUUGCUCCCUUGUCACAGUUGCGUCGAUGGCAUGAUCGAAGGCCGUCGCUUGUUGUUCCGUAGUGUUUGUACCCUUGUCGAUUUUGUUUUCUCUUCUUUUCCUUCUUUGUUGUGGUGAUGGAUGUAAUGUGUGGUUGGUGCUUUAUAUAUAAAGCGGGGCGAAAGCCUUUUUCGGUAAACAAAUUGGACCCCGAUAAAAUCCGAACGUACGGAUUUUAAGCAUUUCAUUCUGAACAUUUUUACAUGGCAACUUUAGUUGACGCUAGGUGGCAACUUUACUUGUUAAGACAUGGCAACUUUGUCCCAGUUCGUUUUUUUCAGAAAAUUGCAAUGUUCGCCAACCUCACGUGAACUAAAGUUGCCAUAAAAACGUUCGGAUUUCCAUGCUUAAAAUCCGAACAUUAGAGAUUUAUCAUUGCCGAACAAAUUUUGGGUCAGUUGACUGACCCAAAAUCUCCGCGUCAGCGAGAGCGGCAGCCACACCCGCCUCCUUUUCUCCUUCCCCUUCCUCUACUUUUCGCCGUGCCAUGGCCACGGUGGCGAGCUAGCUAGCCGCGCCGCGCCUACUUAAGCCCCCUCUCGGCGUCCGCACCUAGCCCCUAGGGUUUCUCUCUCCAGCCUCCGCCGCCGCCAGGGGAGAAAACUCCCCCAGAUCCGUCGCUUCCGCCGCUUCCUGAGCGCGCCUGAGAGCGCGUCCACGUCGCCGGCGCGCACUCCGGCCACCUCCGCCUCGCCAACAUCGUCCGUCUUCCUCCACGACGUCGACUACGUCCCCGUCGUCCUCUUCCUCGCCUGGGAUCGUCAAGUCUGGCUACCUCCCCGUUGUCCUCUUCCUCCCCUGCUUCGCGGACAGCAGCCCCGCCAGGUUCAGAGCUCGUCCGCGUCGCCGCAGGCUCGUCUCCGUCGACCCCAUCGUGUCCUAGGGUGAGCUGGGUAACGGACCUCCCUAUCCCAUCCAUUCCAUGGCGUGUAGGCACCCGUACGACUCGCCCGAUCCGUGUCUUUGACGCGCUCGCAGUGCUCCAGCGAAGCCUGAAGAUUAUGUUGUGCGUAUCUUUGCUGUAGCGCACCCGCGCGUCCCCACGAUCCGGUUCUAUCCUAGCCACGUUCUCCUCGCUGUGUUGGACUCACCCGCGCAACCGCUCUUGCAGUGCAGCAUGCCCGCGCGAGCACCAGGCCUCGCCUAGCCCCAUGCCUUAGCCACCGAGGCGAGCACGAGCUCGUCCUCGGGAGGGCCCGUACGCGCAUGUUCCUUUGCUGCUCUGCUUGCACGCGUGCGACCUUACCCCCAUUCCGCACGCCAGCCGGUGCUCUGCAGCUGCAGAAGUCGCCGCCGUUGCUUGCCGUCGACGCCGGAACUCUGCUGCGCGUUCAUGGCGUUUCCAGGACCGGGACUCUCUCUGUUCAAAGGGUGAUGAACCCCUUCUUGAUCAAGCCGGGCUUGUAGCCCACUAGUUGCUCCCGCUCGCUCUGAUUCAGUAGGUCUCGGGUUCGAGUCCCAGGCUCUACAUAGUUUGUUGUGUCCUUUUUAUUCUGCAUUGUGACACUGACGCCUCAGCCCCACUGUCAUACACACACCCUCUUAGGCCCACUGUCAUACACACACGCACACAACUGCCUCCCUUUCCUUAUUUUGUUCCUCCAUUUAUGGAAAGUGCCCAUUUUCCAUUUUGCGCAGAUCCAAAUCUGGACAUUCCAGAUUAGGCAAUUUCCUUUUCUAUCUAUUUCCAGUUCGGGCAGUUUCUCAAAUAUGCAUUUUAUGGGUAUUUUUCUACAGUAACCCCAACAUAUUAUAUAUGUUUUUGGGCUAGAAAAUCCAAUGAAUCCAGUAGUGGCAUUAGUUUCUGCAUUUGAGCAAGUUUGCACACAUGUCAUUUUACAUCAUGUUGCUGUUUUGUCUUUUAUGUGUAUAUUUAUGCAAAUAUGCUAUGGGGUAGUUUUGCACAUGAACAUGCUCUUCAUCAUGCCUACUUGCUGCUAGAAUUAAGCUUAUGCCAUGAUAUGUUUUAUUUUGAGUUAAACAAGCUUGCAAACAUGCUAUCUUGAAUCUGUUUCUGCCAUGCCAUUAAAUUUUACCAAGUCUGGGUCUGUUUAUGUCACUUGCCAUGUUUGCAUUGACGCUAUCAUUAUUUCUGUAGAUAUUUGGAGCAUGUUCACUAAGUGAGUUUUGUUAAGUGCAUGUAGUACUAGCAUGCCAUGCUCUUGCUUGCCAUGAUAUAUUGUUGUAGCAUAUUUAAACCAUGCACAUAAGUUGUUAUGUUGCUAUUUUUCAACAGAUUGCAUUGCAUUUUGUUUUGCUUGUCAUUUUCAAACUGUGCAUCCGUUUUCGGUGAUCUUCAUAUCGAUUUCAUUCGAAAUCUCCCAACCUAUCCAGUGGAAUGCUUGGGUUACCAAGAUUGUGCCAUGUUUAUCGUUUCUCCUUCCGUCUCGUUUGCACCCCUUCCGAAGCACCUCGUAUGCAUUGCACCUCAUAUCUUGCAUUCCAUGCCAUGUCUUGCAUCAUGUUGCUUGCACAUUGCACCGUAAUUGAUUGUUGUUCCAUUGCUUGUGUUCUUGCUUUGGGUAGAGCCGGGAGACGAGUUUGUGUACGAGGAACCUGUUAAGUACGCUAACGAGGAGCAAGCUUUCGACAACUCUGAGAACUUUGCAGGCAAGAUGACCGUUACCACCGAUAUCACUUCCAUCUUUGCUUGCUAGUUGCUUCGUUCUAUCGUUAUGCUGCGCUACCUAUCACUUGUUUACCAUGCCUCCCAUAUUGCCAUGUCAAGCCUCUAACCCACCUUCCUAGCAAACCGUUGUUUGGCUAAGUUACCGCUUUUGCUCAGCCUCUCUUAUAGCGUUGUUAGUUGCAGGUGAAGUUGAAGAUUGCUCCAUGUUGGAACAUGAUUAUGUUGGGAUAUCACAAUAUCUCUUAUUUUAAUUAAUGCAUCUAUAUACUUGGUAAAGGGUGGAAGGUUCGGCCUUAUGCCUGAUGUUUUGUUCCACUCUUGCCGCCUUAGUUUCCUUCAUACCGGUGUUAUGUUCCUUGAUUUUGCGUUCCUCACGCAGUCGGGUUUAUGGGAACCCCUUGACAGUUCGCCUUGAAUAAAACUCCUCCAGCAAGGCCCAACAUUGGUUUUACAUUUGCCUAACAACCUACUAACUUUCCCUUGGGUUUUCGCGAGCCCGAGGGUCAUCUUUAUUUUAACCCCCCUCCCCCCAGGCCAGUGCUCCUCUAAGUGUUGGUCCGAACCGAGUAGAGUGCGGGGCCACCUUGGGGAAACUUGAGGGUUGGUUUUACUCGUAGGAUGUCUCAUCCGGUGUGCCCUGAGAACGAGAUAUGUGCAGCUCCUAUCGGGAUUGCUGGUCUUGUUUUACCAUUGUCAAAAUGUCUUCUAACCGGGAUUCCGAGACUGAUCGGGUCCUCCCGGGAGAAGGAAUAUCCUUCGCUGAUCGUGAGAGCUUGUGAUGGGCUAAGUUGGGACACCCCUGCAGGGUAUAAACUUUCGAGAGCCGUGCCCGUGGUUAUGUUGAAGAUGGGAAUUUGUUAAUAUCCGGUUGUAGAGAACUUGACACUUGACUUAAUUAAAAUGCAUCAACCGCGUGUGUAGCCGUGAUGGUCUCUUUUCGGCGGAGUCCGGGAAGUGAACACGGCUUGGGUUAUGAUUGAACGUAAGUAGUUUCAGGAUCACUUCUUUAUCACUUCUAGCUUCACGACCGUUGCGUAGCUUCUCAUCUUACUCUUAUUUGCGUAUGUUAGCCACCAUAUUUGCUUAGCGCUUGCUGCAACUCCACCUCAUUACCACAUCUUACCCAUAAGCUUAAAUAGUCUUGAUCUUGCGGAUUUUGAGAUUGCUGAGUCCUCGUGACUCACAAGAUACUACCAAAACAGGUGCUGAUGAUACUAGUGCAGGCGAUGCUACCGAACUCAAGUGGGAGUUCGACGAGGUCCUUGGCCGCUACUACGUGUUUUUUCCUGAUGAUCAGUAGUGGAGCCCAGUUGGAACGAUCGGGAUCUAGCAUUUGAGGUUAUCUUCCUUUUCAUUUGGAUUUGUUUGUAGUCGAACUAUGUGUGUAUAUUGGAUGAUGUAUGAUUAAGUAUUGUGUGAAGUUGCAAUUGUAAGCCAACUGUAUUUAUCCCUUUCUUGUUCAUUACAUGGGAUUGUGUGAAGAUGACCCUUCUUGCGAUAAAACCACAAUGCGGUUAUGCCUUUAAAUCGUGCCCCGACGCCACAUCGUGGGCGUUACAAGUUGGUAGCACUUGCGUGAACCGGAUUGAAACAAAUUUUGGGUCAGUCAGCUGACUCAAAAUCUUAUUUCAGUCAACUGACAGACAGCCGGUCACAUACCUGGCCAUGGGCAGCCCGGCCCAAACGACCCGACCCAACCCGACCUUGCCCACGGGCAAGGCAUGCGCCUAGAUUUUGAGCCUGGUGGCCAGGCAAGGCCAGGCCCGUCAUUUCUGCAGUUUAAGGAAGAGGCCCGGCCCAAGGCCCAACGGGUUUUGCAUGAUGGGCCUGGCUUGGGCUUAAUAUUUAGGCCCGACAGCCAGGCCACACUCAGGCCUAGGUUUUCUAUGUCAGGCUUUGGUAGGCCCCGCCCGGCAGAUGCCCAGGUAUAUCAGGGACUGGCAUGAGAUGCAGGCUAAAUGCGAAAAUAUACAGGCUAAAUGGUAAAAUAUUUCAACAUCAAGGGCUUAUUUGGGUUGGAAAUCAUGACAAUACCCACCAUUUCUGUACAAACUGUUCCACAGAAACUUAUUUCUACCAUCAAUCAGAUACACCGUAUCACACUUUCAGGUCAAAUGCCAAGAGCAGGGCUAGCAAACUGAAACAAGAGUCUGUGUCUACAGUUCCCGUGGCCACACCAGUAUAAUUUUGGUCCAAAACAUUGCAGGGAUCUUGCUUACAAGUUGGUCUUUGGCUUGGAUGGCGGGCUCACGCGCCUGGUCAAGGUCCGCAUCGUCACAAACUCCUCCGCUGCAGAAGGGUGGAUCCCGACCUGCAAAGCCAGCCAACAGGGU
rnacentral:lncRNA from 1 species